UACGUAGGGCGCAAGCGUUGUCCGGAAUUAUUGGGCGUAAAGAGCUCGUAGGCGGCCUGUUCCGUCUGCUGUGAAAUCCCGGGGCUUAACCCCGGGCGUGCAGUGGAUACGGGCAGGCUGGAGGCAGGCAGGGGAGAACGGAAUUCCCGGUGUAGCGGUGAAAUGCGCAGAUAUCGGGAAGAACACCCGUGGCGAAGGCGGCACUCUGGGACGGUACUGACGCUGAGACGCGAAAGCGUGGGGAGCGAACAGG
rnacentral:rRNA from 1 species